ensembl:lncRNA COQ7-DT COQ7 divergent transcript
GGUUGCCAGGGAGAUGAAAAUGCUAAAUUGCUGUUUAGAAAGAUCAGGACAAGGUUAUGAUUUCUCACCCAAGUUCCUGGGGAAAAGGAUCAUGAGGGAAUUACUUAUUAACAAGGCACGGUAUUUCCUGCUUUACCUACGUGGAAGGAGAUUUUUUUUUUUAUUUGUAUCCUACAUCUACUUUAAAAUAGAAAAAGCAAAGAGGAACUUUACAAACUAUUACAGUUUUCCAUCAUCACUUGACUGCUGACAAGAAGCCUCUUUGAAUUCCAGUAUACACGAUCACAUUUUAAAACCUUCAAGACGCCGUUUAAUCAGGAGUUGUAAGGCACAUUUGUUAGAGAGAGCUGCACUUUAAAAGUUAUACAGACAUCACCUGAAGUUAUUAAAGUUAUCAAAACAUAUUAAAAACCUUCAAGUAAGAGGCUACUCCCCAGGAAACGUGUGGAGCCAGUGAACGGAAGAAAAACAAUGGAAGGAAGGCUUGAAAAGUCCAUUACAAAACUACAGUCCUUUGAAAAAGAUUUCAAAGAUAUUAAAAUGAAAACUGAUUACAUUAAACAAUAACUUAAACUUCUGUUCUUCUGUUAAAAGGUUGACAUCUAUCAAUUUUGGGUAAGCUUACAAUGAGGUAUUUAUUGCAUAUGGUUUUUACCAUAACGGAAAUCUUAAGAGAUAUUCUACAUUUUUUUUUUAGGGAGAGUUUUGCUCUUUUUGCCCAGGCUGGAGUGCAAUGGUGUGAUCUCAGCUCACUGCAAACUCCACCUCCUGGGUUCAAGCAAUUCUCCUGCCUCAGCCUCCUGAGUAGCUGAUAUUACAGGCAUGUGCCACCACACCCAGCUAAUUUUGUAUUUUAGUGGAGACGGAGUUUCUCCACGUUGGUCAGGCUGGUCUUGAACUCCCCAACUUAGGUGCUCCGCCUGCCUCGGCCUCCCAAAGUGUUGGGAUAACAGGCGUGAGCCGCUGCGCCCAGCCACAUGUUUUGUGAAAUAAAGGCACAUGCAUUAAAAAUUGUAAGCACAGGAAAACAACCCUAAAAAAUGUGGACGUGUGUGUUUAAGAAACCAGCCUCCAAUUCUGUUUGUUAUACACUCAUGGGCUGGUCUGAUUAACAGGCUGAGCUUCAGUCCACAACCCAAAACACUUGUGCACAUAAACUCGUGGCUCAAAUACUAAA